ACAGCUGCAACCAAGCAAGGGGGGAGUGCCACCUCUGCAACUUGUGCCCCCUUACCUUAGUCUCCACAGAAGAUUCUUUGGGGAUAGCUGAUGGCUCUAGAUUCCCUUUCUGCACUCAGGGGAUCCUGUGAAAAAGUCGUUUUUGGAGCUUAACCUCAAUGCCGUUCCCUGGUUCUUCAGUGAAUCCGUUCCUUGUAUACGGCUGCCUCAGUGCUCUACUCCUCUAGGGCCCAAUCCUGCUCCUGGCCAAUCGGGUGCCUGUGGUUUUAAGCCUGGCAAACUCUUCAACCUCAUCUGCAUGUAUUUUGACGUGAAGGUUGGAAAGACGUGAGACUAUAAACCUGACUUCACCUUUCUUGGCUGGUUUUGCUAGCAGAUGUCAUAUAUCAAGAUUUCCGUAAGACAACGCCUGAAAUGAGUGUUUUCCUUUGCUCCAGUUCUGUCAAGCUGAUCUACAGCAAGUUAUGAUCUGAGCCUCUGAAUCUUUAGUGUUGUACUGCAAGACAGCCCAGAAGAAGUUAGUUUUAUUAAAGUCUGGAGCCAUCAGAAAACCUGCCAUGCAGAUGUGAUCACACAAAAACAGCAGCCUCUACCCGCAACAACAGAAUAUAAAAGGUGUUGGGAUUUGCGCUGAGCAUCUCUGGAAUUCCUAACACAUGGUUUUUGUAGUCCUGUGGAGAAAAAUGUGAACAUGGUUUAUAGUCCAUCCCCCAGGGGAAGAGAAGAGGAGAACCAUGCACCAGUGGGGGCAGAGCAGCUUGCACGAGGGGCAGGGAAAG